GCCAGGCACGGUGGCGCGUGCCUGUAGUCCCAGCUACUCGGGAGGCUGAGGUGGGAGGAUUGCUUGAGCCCAGGAGUUCUGGGCUGUAGUGCGCUAUGCCAAUCGGGUGUCCGCACUAAAUUCAGCAUCAAUAUGGUGACCUCCCGGGAGUGGGGGACCACCUGGUUACCUAAGGAGGGGUGAACUGGCCCAGGUUGGAAACGGAGCAGGUCAAAACUCCCGUGCUGAUCAGUAAUGGGAUUGUGCCUGUGAAUAGCCACUGCACUCCAGCCUGGGCAACAUAGCGAGACCCCAUCUCA
rnacentral:SRP_RNA from 1 species